rnacentral:lncRNA from 1 species
CCAGGGCCUCAGUAUUGACCAUGACCUUGUGCUAAGUCUGGUAACAUAAAAUGAGUGGGAAUGGGAAGGUCAAGAAGAAGACAGGAUCAGAGACUUAGAACUGAACAUGAGAGUCUUAGAACUGGACCAUAUCUAACCCUUUCAUUUUAGAGAUAAAUAAACUGAGUCAUCGAGAGGCUAGGUGGUCAUCUGGGAUCACACAGCUGGGGAAGAGAGAGUGCUUCUUCUGUAGGUUCAAACCUUUUGCAUACACGCUGAGUUCCAGCUUUGCAGACCUACAAAAAUGUUUUCACCACCUUGCAGUAAAUCAACAUGAAACAGUCAGAGAAUACUACAAUGUCUUGACUUGGGGAAAGGGGCAUGUCUAAAAGCAAGCUCACCAAGCAUCCAUGUGGGUUGACAACAGAUAUACCAUAUUAUAGAUAGUUUAAUAACUACGUUCUCAUUGGCCAGUCCUCCUAUUAUAUUAUAUCCUCUCCAUUAUCUCUUUUCACGACAUUCUUGAAAGUAAUGCUAUUGCUAUAUUAAAGAAGACUUAAAGCAUAGUAGGGAGAGAUCCCUAAGCUGUUUACUGAACCAUAUUUAAACAAAAGAACCUGUCACCUUUUAAGGCUUUCUCCAACAAGAGUUGCUGCAGUCAUCACCGUUUUGUGCCAGUCAACUCCC